UGGGGAAUAUUGGACAAUGGGCGGAAGCCUGAUCCAGCAACGCCGCGUGAGGGAUGACGGCCUUCGGGUUGUAAACCUCUUUCAGUAGCCACGAAGCGCAAGUGACGGUAGCUACAGAAGAAGGACCGGCCAACUACGUGCCAGCAGCCGCGGUAAUACGUAGGGUCCGAGCGUUGUCCGGAAUUAUUGGGCGUAAAGGGCUCGUAGGCGGUUUGUUGCGUCGGGAGUGAAAACUUCGAGCUUAACUCGGAGCUUGCUUUCGAUACGGGCAGACUUGAGGCAUUCAGGGGAGAACGGAAUUUCUGGUGUAGCGGUGAAAUGCGCAGAUAUCAGAAGGAACACCGGUGGCGAAGGCGGUUCUCUGGGAAUGUUCUGACGCUGAGGAGCGAAAGUGUGGGGAGCGAACA
rnacentral:rRNA from 1 species